CAAGCACGUCCUGUGCCGUCAGCGCAAAGCCCAACACAGGGCUCAAUCCCACCAACUUGAUGAGACAUCCCUGGGAGAAACUCUGAUGAAACACCAUGGAGGACUUUCCACUGGGAAAGAAGAGCUGACAGGCCUCUCCAGGGCAAGAAGCUUUGAAAGCUGCCAAAGGACUUCAAAGCUGCAUGAAGUGAAGAUCCAGGUGGAACCAACUAGCUGCACAGCUGCAUAGUCAUGAAGAAAAGACCAGAGCAGGAGACACAGCAGCCAACUGAACAGAUUAACUGCUUGUUAUCGGUAAACCGAGGAGACCAUCAUAGAGGCCAUCUGUUCAUGGGACAGAGGGCCAGGACUCAGCAAUCCUUUGCAAGAGUGAGCUGAUUCUUAAAGGAAGUCACUCUUCUUUCUAAGGGUCUUGGUGGCAGACGAGGGUGGCAGCCAGAUGCCAGCCAGGGAGAGGUCCCGGAGCCCUGUGAGGUGGAGAAGGCCUGUGCGUGGCCCAAACCAGAGUUCCACCGCUGGGCUCUGCCUGGAGCAGGCUGUGAGGCUUUGUCGAAGAAAAUCUGAAAACCUAAAGCUAAAGCAAGAGGCUGGAAGAAAGAACAGGGUCCAAAGCAGAAUGCUCAACUUCAAGCCAUUUGCCUAAAUUCACUUUUUCAGAUGGCUUCUGCUAGGAGGUAGAAAAUGAAAGGCUUCUUUAUGCGGUACUAAAAUUGGUAACAGAGUUCCUCCCGCCCUCCCGCAUCCCCCCACCCACGGCCAGGCACCUGAUGGUGCCUGAGGUUCUGGCAACCACUGCAUACAACAAUCUCGAAAGGUUCCCCUGGGGCCAGCCUGGAGCACCAUCACUGGGAACACAGCUCACAUCAGCACCCCUUGCUUUGCCAAAGCAGAAAUGGCCUGGGUCCAAGAGUGAAAUCUGAUGGAAGAAAUUAAAGCAGGAUGCCAUUCUCUCUAAUUUUCAGGAAGGCCUCAGAUGAUCCUGCUUUUUAGCAGGAGAAAUCAGGACAAAUCCCCUACUUCUUUAUUUUUACACUUACUGAUAAACAAGCCAUCUUGUUUUUUCCUCUCACUCCAAGCAGUACCAACUUCUGUAAUGGUUAAUAGAUAGCAAUCAAAACACUGUAUCCCCUGCGAUUUCAAUUGGAGACCAAAGGAAAUUAUCUUGGCUUGAAAAGAAGAUAUAUUCCAUCUCUAUAUCAUAUACAUAUAUACAAGAGACAAAUAAUAAUCACUGGUCCCAUAACAAUCUCCAAAGAUACUGAGAGAUAAUAUCCACAGAUACUAUAGAGUCUCAGUAAUAUAUUAACUAAUCAAUGAAUCUCUCUGCAAUGUCUUCCUCUGAUGUUCCUAAUCCUUCCCAUUCUCAUGCCACAGCUGCCCUAUCAGUACCUCUUUCUGUUGCAUCUUCCCGCUAAGUAAUUUUCUCAUGUGUUUUCUUAAUGGGCUCUGAGAAUGUUCUGUAACGUUUUCAUUUUUUACCUUGGCCACCAGGAAGCUCAGGGUCAAGUUUCCAGUCCAUUUGCUUGCAUAGGGUUCAUAUAUUCAUUUAAUUAUUUUUUCUGGAUUUGUCAUUCUAAAUUGUAUUUUUCCUGCCAUAAUCUUUAUUUUAUAUUUGGCUUUUACUAUUUUGAUGGAAUAUUUCCUGAAAACUGAAGUCCUUAUAGGUGGAGGCACUGCUAAUUACUUAAUUAAAAUAAGACCAUUCAUGGUUUGAUUGACUUCCUUUCCUUUCUUAUUUCUCACCAUGUUCUCCUUCCCUGCUCCUUACACUAUACUGGCCUUCUUUCAGUCCUUUGUACUCACUUCAGGGCCUUUGCAUGUGCUGAUUCCUACCCCUUCAUGGCUUAUUACUCCUGGACAUCCUUCAGACCCUAGCUGGGUUAUCACUGCCCUGAAAAGAGUUACCUGAACUUCCUGCUUAAGUCAAAUCCCCUAAUAGGUGCUCUCAUUGCACCGUGUACCUUCCCUUUGUAGCACUUGUCACAGUUGUAAUUUUAUCUCUGUGAUGAUUUCAGAUAUGUGUAUAUCCCAUUAGACUAUAAACAAUGCCUGGCAACAUAGCAGGUCUGCAGUAAAGUUUGUUGAAUGAAUGAAUGGGUGAAUGAAUUAGUGAAUGAAUGAGUUCAUACAUACAGCUACACUGGUUUCUCUGGUCUAACUUUUUCUAUUCUCCAAAACACCUAUCUAAGCAUUCGCUACCCUCCUGAAAAAACUCCAGUGUGUUCAGAAUCAAGUUCAAUCUUUCUCCCUAAUACUGUCUAUUCUAUAAGAGCCUCUAAGACCGGCCUCAAUCCAUCUUCCCAUUCCCUUUCCUUCCCCUUCCAUGAAAGCCACCCUGGACAACCUGAAAAUCCCCCAUACAAACCUUGCACAUUCCCAUAUCCUGGCCUAGAAUGUCCCUCCCCAAAGACCUUCCCAGCAUCUACUCUAUACCAAGAGGUGGCUAGGCUUGAGGUGUUACCCUAGGCCCUCAGAUACCACCUACCCCUAAAAGCCUUCUCUGAUUUCUGCAGUUUCCUUCUUAUAGUGCAAACGCAAAGCCUUUUGUUUAUAUUCACUUUUGUCACUUAUAUAAGAGCAUUAUAUUUAUGACAUAGUCCCUCUCCCACUAAACUAUAAACUCCUUAGAGGCAAGCAUUGGACCAAUGCAUUCCAAAUCUCUAGCUGCAAGCAGUGUCUGGCAUACUGUCAGAGUUCAAAAUGAUUAUUGUAUUAAUACAUAGUAAUAAUAACAACAUGGAGAUUUAGGAACAUCAAAUUUAGGAAACUAGUCCAACAGUUAAAGGAAUGGAUGAUUUCAUGAUGUACUAUGAUGUGGUGGUUUUAAAACAUGUCCACACAUUUUUGAACGCUCCUCCUUCCAAAGGAAGAAAGAGCUCAAUCCUCCCCCUGAGUUGGGGCUGGACUCAGCGAUUUGCUUCUAAAGAACAGAAAGAAUAUGGCAAGAGUGAUAGUGUGUGACUUUUUGAGAUUAGGUCAUAAAAGGGUCCCUGGAUGCUUCUUUGCGCUCUCUGUCUCUCACUCUCUCUCUGACUACCUGCUCUGGAGGAAGCUGGCUGCCAUGUGGUAAGGGCGCUCUGGCAAUCCUAUAAAGAGACCCAUGUGGGAGGAACUUGCUCCUGCCAAUAGCCAUGUGAGUGAACCAUCUUGGAAGCUGAUCCUCAAGUUCCAAACAAGCUUUUGGGGACUGCAACACGGGUUGACAUCUUGCCUGUAACCUCAUGAUAGACUGAGCCAGAAUCACCCAGCUAAGCCACUCUUAAAUUCCUGACCCACAGAAACGGAGAUCAUGAAUGUUUGUUAUUUUUAAGCCACCAAGUUUUAGGGUCAUUGCUUAUAAAGUAAUAGAUAAUAGAUAACAAUAGACAAUAUAUGUGCUUAUCCAUUCAGAAAAAGAUUGUAGUUGUUAACUCCUGUUGGAACAAAGGAGAUUUGUCUCAUUAAUAGCUGAUUUUACACGGUUAAUAGUCCCAUUGUUAAAAUAUUGAUAUGCCGUUCUCCUCCCCCACCAUACCUACACCUUCAGUUCUUAUCUAAAUUUUACCACUUCUCUAAAGCCCUGCUUGGCCUUCUCACAUCUUUGGAGAAGCUCUCCUUAACCACACCAGCUUGUACUGAAAUCGCUUUUCUCGGUUCGUUUGCACUUUGGCUCUUGGUAACCAUAAUCACUUCAAUUUACUGAGUACUUACUGUGUGCUGGUGUACUGGCUGAAUAGUGUCCCUCCAAAAGUCAUGUCCACCCAGAGCCUCAGAAGGUGUAACCUUAUUUGGAAAUAGGGUGUUUGCAGAUGUCAUUGGUUAAGAUGAGGUCAUACUGGAGUAGGACAGACCCUUGAUUCAAUAACUGAUGUCCUUAUAAGAAGGCCAUGUGAAGACACAGAAACACACCAGGAGAAGACCAUGUGACAAAAGAGCAAGGAUUGAAGUGAUGCUACCAAUCAAGGAGUGCCAAGGAUUUCUGGCAACCACCAGAAGCGAGGAAGAGAAGGGAAGACUCCUCCCUAGAGCCACCACAGAGGCACCGCGACCCUUUGAAUUUGAACCUCUUGCCUCCACAACUGUGGGAGAAUAAAUUUCUGUUGUUUUAAGACA